AAACAAUCUGCCUCACAACAAGCCAAUCCAACCCAACCCAACCUAAACUUAGUGAAUAAGAUGGAUGACUUGACCUAAAAUGCACAACUUAGGCAGAGACCUAGCCAGCCCAGGCCAACCUAUCCGAAAAGCAACCUCAAGCUUCACCACUCUGGCCGCCUCCAGUGUUCCUCCACCAUCAUGAGAUCUUAGUGCAGUCCGACCCUAGUUCAUCUGUUGCUUGAAAACUGACUUCAACUCAAUGAAAUGGAGUCCUAGACAACUUUGUGGUCGACAAAAACCCACCUCGUCGCCCUCUGCUACGAGCAUAUGUCCACAACCUAGAAGCGCUUGGGUUGCUCCUCCUUCAAAUCACAUAAAUUGAAUUGAAGGUCUAACCAGAAUAACAAUAUGAGGAAUCAACUUUGGUUUUUACCUUAAGGUCGUUGCCCAAGAGCCUUCACACCACACAAAGUUCUUCGCGUCUUCCUCCUACCACCCCUCAGGCUCAGACACUGAUCUCAAGACCUCAUAGCCACGACUGGAAGACGCCGUUUCGAAAUCACUAGCCCACUAAUUCGCCACCUAACUUGUCGUUGUUUCUCAAGAAACAUGAUCAUGUGUCAUGUCGAGAAGAAGGUCGCCGCCACCACAAGAAACCAUAACAAGGGUUCGAGCUUCAAGGUUGCUCUAAGAGAAACAAACUCAUACACUUCACAUUCUGAAAAAUCUAAAAAUAUUUUUCAUUAAAAGACAGCUAAAUGAAACUUAAGCGAAAGUGAUACCGGGAUUUUUUGCGGUGAAAAGCUGAUAGAACAAACUGAUAGGACACGCUCGUCACUCCAAAAAAUUCACCAAGGAGAUAAAAACAAAACUCGCCACUUUUAGGAAUUCAC
rnacentral:lncRNA from 1 species